GUCUUCACCAAGACUUGGAGGUCUUGAGUUUAGAACAUACUCUUGGCUGGGGUUGGAUCGUAGGAAAGGUUUUCCUAGGAAAUUGGGUAAGGUCAAACCAAGGUAGAGGUUCUAGGAAUUGAAGAAGGUAGCGUUCAAAGUCUUGUAAUUGGAAGUGUGUAUGUAAGAUACAUUGGCUACAAUUUUUAGUGAAGAAAAUCUCUCAUAUCAGAAGGGAGGUCUGGAUGUAUUUUUGCAGUGGAUCGGAAAACGAACAAGUAUAAAAAACAUUGUUGCAGGUUAUUUCUUACCCUUAUCUCUUUAAUGUUUUAAAGUAUUUUUAAUUGUCUAUUGUAGCUGAUAUUUUGAAUAUAGUAACUCUGCCAUAUAAAGAACAUUUCUGUUCAAAUAUACCUGCUAUAUCAUUUCUGUAUAAUCCGUAUGUGGCUGUAUAAUUUAGCCAUUCAACAACUGUUAAUUCUGUACGACUUAAUCGAUUGAGGCAGUCUUUAAUCGAUUAACUGAUUGAUUUUCCAGAAUAGGGCUUUGGUGUAAAUAGCGGUAAGUGGGAACCACAAUACCAAUUUAACCCCCCCUUUUCUAGGUGUAUUCUGUCACUGAUACCUAACAAAAUGAACAUUGUUUAUUUGGUUUAAAUGGAAGGACUAAGUAAUAAUAACGAAAAAUUAUUUGAAAAACCUUAAUAUUUGAAAUUGGUAUAUUUUAUUAAUAAAACUAUUUAUCAAAAAGUUAAAUGUUCAGGUGACAAGUUAAUUAGAAGGAUUAUCAAUAAUAAAUUGUAUAUUUUCACAAAGCAUUUAGUUACCAUGAUAAACCCCUUGAAUUCGAAGCCAUACUUUUCAUGAAUUAUGUGAUUUGUGUCACUAUGUUUAAUAUUAGUAGUAUUGUCUAUAGGAACAUACAACACUGUUGCUCUUUUGUCAAGAACCCAAAGGGGUGCUGUUAGAGCUUACACUAACUCUCAACCUCUUAGAUUGGUAGAAGGGUCGGCUAGGUACCCUACUUGUAACAUCCGAAAAAAUUACUAUAUUUUCAUAAUUAAAUUUCGAACCACCCAUUAUAGUUUUAUUUUAUGGUAAAAUAAAUACAAUGAUAUAAUCAAUUUACUUUAAAAAUGUAUCUCAACAUUAAGAUAAUAAAUAAUUACAGAAUUAUAUUGUUAUUAUUUUCUUACUUUUAUGAUUAUUAUUAUGAUCACUACUCAAUUAUAUAUAUAUAUAUAUCAAACUAAUAUUUUACAUUACAUGAUAGCAUUUGUAUAAAGGUUAUCUUAUUUUAUCCUUAUCAUUAUAUUUUUUUGUAAGCAAGAGUAUUGUAUAAAGUCACAAAGCAUUAUGCCAACCUGAUUACAGGUUACAAACAAGAUCUAAACAAGAAGAAGGGUCAGUGCAUCAUUGUGGAAAAGAGUACAAAUUAGCACCAACAUGGUUUGAAAACCAAAGCCAAGAUCUAGUUUAAUCAAAUCUAUGAUUUGUAUGUAACUCGACUUUUCCCCCUUAAAAAUUAUAUCAUUCCUCAUACUCCAAACAGCCCAAAUCACAGUGAACUAGAAUAUUCUCUAGAUAUAAAACAUUUUAUGACGAUUACACAAAAAGUCAUGUAGUUGGAGAAAUUCAAUAAUAUUAUUCGGGAUAAGUACCUGAAUUUGAAGCCA
rnacentral:lncRNA from 1 species